ACCUUUGUGGUGUAGUGGUCAGCAUACUCGACGCGUAUUCGAGAGAUCCGUGGUUCGAGUCCUGGCAGGGGCA
rnacentral:tRNA from 1 species